UACGUAGGUGGCAAGCGUUGUCCGGAUUUACUGGGUGUAAAGGGCGUGUAGCCGGGCUGACAAGUCAGAUGUGAAAUCCGGGGGCUCAACCCCCGAACUGCAUUUGAAACUGUCAGUCUUGAGUACCGGAGAGGUCAUCGGAAUUCCUUGUGUAGCGGUGAAAUGCGUAGAUAUAAGGAAGAACACCAGUGGCGAAGGCGGAUGACUGGACGGCAACUGACGGUGAGGCGCGAAAGCGUGGGGAGCAAACAGG
rnacentral:rRNA from 1 species